GCUUGUCAUUUAGUAGAUAUAAAUGCAAUUAAGUAUUUGUUGAAUGAAGGGAUAAAUGAGCCUCAGUUUCCUCAUCUGUAGAGGUAACAAAAACCCUAUGAGGAUUAAAUGAGAUAACAGAUGUGACACUGCCUGACCCAUAAUAAGAUUUUGUUUUUGUUUUUUGGUUGUUCUCUAGAUAGAGAAGCUCAAAAAUGAAAUCAGCUGCCUCCCAGGAUUUUUAAAAUGGAGAUAAGGAUAACCUUGUUAGAGAUUCUGGAAGAAUUCAAUAAAGUAAGAAAUACAAAAGGGUCCCAAAAGUGUUAGCACAAGCUAAAAACACUGAAGCUCAGAGGUGAAGAGACUUACCCAAAACUGCCGUAGGUUUAGACAUCCUCUCCUCCCUGAUUCCUGCUCUUGACAGGUAUGAUGUGAAUCCUCAGAAUCCACACAGUGGGCGAUAGUUCCCUCAUCAGAGCACUCUGGAAUGCAGUGAACAGUUAAGAGAAUAAAUGAAAAUGCCCUCCAUCUCCUCCUCAAAAAUAGUUGACAUGCAUUGAAUGCCUGCUCCGUCAAAGGCACUUUGCCAAAUGCUUUCCACGGACUAUUUUGUAUCAUCCUUAACAGAGGAGGAUAACCGUGGCCAAGAGAUGUUGACGGUUUGCCUAAGAUUGCAGAACCUGCUAAAAGCAGAAGCAUUUUCAAGCACAGAAACACCCGGGGAAAUGUUCAUUCUUCCUUCAACAACUCUGAAAUCUCCUAAAACAUGCAGCCCACCAGGAGUGGCAAUGGAAAAAAGGCACAGGAAGAAAAUAAACCAAGAAGGAAAAGAUAACACACACAUCUCAUGUGGGCCUUCAGGAAGGAUGGGAGAAGCAGGGCAGGGAGAGGGAGAAGCACCAGCCAGCCUCAGUUCUUCCUUUGCUCAUCCCUCCCCCUUCUUUUCCCUUCCCUCCCCCGUUUCCUGCAUGCAGCAGCAAAUGUAUGAAUGCUUGGAUGGCUUGGCAAAACACUCUCCAAGAUUUAUUUCUGUUGGACAAUCUUGCAUUCUUUUUUUUUCCCCCUGCUGACAACUCUGUCAACAGCAGGCUGUUGUGAGGCUGUGAAUUUGGAAAUCACGUACUUGAUACAGACAUUGUUGCAAUGAUACAAACCAGACUAAGAAAGUGGACUCCUGAGAUCAGGGAGACCUGCAGACCUACUUGGUUCAUUACCUGGGAGUCUCCCGGACCUCAGGGCUUGGCGAAGAGACCAUCU